UACGUACGAGGCAAGCGUUAUCCGGAAUUACUGGGCGUAAAGCGCAUGCAGGCGGGCUGUUAAGUAGGGCGUGAAAUCUCCCGGCCUAACUGGGAGGGGUCGCUCUAAACUGGCAGUCUUGAGGAUGGCAGAGGUAGGUGGAAUUCCUGGUGUAGUGGUGAAAUGCGUAGAGAUCAGGAGGAACACCGGUGGCGAAAGCGGCUCACUGGACCAUAACUGACGCUGAUGCGCGAAAGCUAGGGGAGCAAACAGG
rnacentral:rRNA from 1 species